GGGAGAUGGAGCCCAAUGAAAUUGAGGUGGGUACUAAUGGUGACGUAUGCAAAUGCCAAAUGGGAAAAUGUAGUGUGGUUUGGGAAUUGAAAUUGAAGGAAGGAAUCUAUUUGUGCACUGUUGAGAUUCUUCCUGAAGAUUUUUCAUUAGGUAUCAUAAUCAUAUUGGAAGAGGCAGGUGGUAUGGUCGUGGUGGUGGGUGGGUGAAUUGAAUUGAUGGAUGGCAGCCCAGUAAUCUUCUACAACUCCACUU
rnacentral:misc_RNA from 1 species